GAUGAACGCUGGCGGCGUGCCUAAUACAUGCAAGUCGAGCGGAGCGGGGACGGGUGAGUAACACGUGGAUAACCUCCUAUAAGCCUGGGAAAACUUCGGGAAACAGGACCUAUACGGGAUACUUAUCAUUGGAUCCUCGCUGCAUUAGCUGGUUGGUAAGGUAACGGCUUACCAAGGCAACGAUGCAUAGCCGUCCUGGGAGGGUGAUCUGCCACACUGGAACUGAGACACGGCCCAGACUCCUACGGGAGGCAGCAGUAGGGAAUCUUCCGCAAUGGGCGAAAGCCUGACGGAGCAACGCCGCGUGAGUGAUGAAGGCCUUCGGGUCGUAAAACUCUGUUAUUAGGGAAGCGGUACCGAAUGAGAAAGCCCCGGCUAACUACGUGCCAGCAGCCGCGGUAAUAC
rnacentral:rRNA from 1 species